rnacentral:rRNA from 1 species
CACGUAGGGGGCAAGCGUUGUCCGGAUUUAUUGGGCGUAAAGAGCUCGUAGGCGGUUCGUCGCGUCGGCUGUGAAAACCCGGAGCUCAACUCCGGGCCUGCAGUCGAUACGGGCGGACUUGAGUGUUGCAGGGGAGACUGGAAUUCCUGGUGUAGCGGUGAAAUGCGCAGAUAUCAGGAGGAACACCGGUGGCGAAGGCGGGUCUCUGGGCAACUACUGACGCUGAGGAGCGAAAGCGUGGGGAGCGAACAGG